CAGAAGAGAUGCUGAAAUCGAAAACAUUAUAAAUAAGCAUAUGAAUAACUCGCUUUUGACUAUUUAAAAAGGGAAAUUUAUGAAUACAGGUCUCACUUGAGAACAUAUGUGUAUUGCAUUAAGUGCUACAUACAGACAUUGAAUGUUAGUUAUUUUCUUCUUCUCUUUUCUUCAUCUUAUUCCUAUUAUCAUACAUUUUGUUGUGUGCAUUUGUCAAUACUCCUCAAUCGUGAAAGAAAUAUGAUGCAUCAUAGUGGCAUUGCAGGAGCUUUACAUUUCUACACUUUAUUUCACCCUUGUGUCUGUUUAAGAUUUCCCACGUGCUCUAUCGGAAUAAUGCGUCAGAACCGGAUUAAGGGAUGUGGGCUGGCCCUGUGCUGUCCGAGGCUAUCCUCCGACUCUAAUUCACUCGGAGCUCAGCUGCUGUUGUUGCUCUGUCGGUGUCGAGCACAGACGGACAAUUACAGCGAGAUCUCACUCAGUGAAUCACAGAGCUGAGUCGGUUUCGUCGGGAAUAACAGUCUCUGGUGUCGGCGGCGAAAUAUUUAAAUUCAUAUGAGGACAAAUGUAAAGAAAAAAAGAAAUCCACUGGCUUCUGAAUGGAGGAUGGAUUUCUAAAAUCUCUUCUUCUUCUUUUUUGCCGGAGCGUUUCGCUCGUUUCGUUUUUGCGAGAGUGAUGAAUGAAAAAUCUGCAGAAAAACCAAACCCGACCUCGCCAUGGAUACGAGAUGAUGCUGAGGGAUCAACUGUGACUGAAUAAAGUCUAACAGAAAAAAAGAAAAAAAGAAAACCGCGACAACUUCUGCAGAACAUUGUUUUUUGGGGGGUACCUUUUGCGGGAUCAGAUACGGCUGAUGUUAAUUUGCUGAGCGCAGGUUCAUUGAUCCCGAGGACCGAGCGGAGCACCCCCACCCUCCCCUACCCCCCAGACUGGAGGAUGAUCCCCGGGGCCCCCGGCACCACCACCACCAUGCUCCCCGCCUCCGAGGCUGCCAAAAUCUACCAGACCAACUACGUGCGCAACUCGCGCGCCAUCGGCGUCCUGUGGGCCAUCUUCACCAUCCUCUUCGCCAUCGUCAACGUGGUGUGCUUCAUCCAGCCGUACUGGAUCGGAGACGGCAUGGACACCCCGCAGGCGGGCUACUUCGGUCUGUUCCACUACUGCAUCGGGAACGGGCUGUCCCGGGACUUGACCUGCCAGGGAAGCUUCACCGAGUUCAGCACCAUCCCCUCCGGUGCGUUCAAGGCCGCCUCCUUCUUCAUCGGCAUGUCCAUGGUGCUGGUCAUCAGCUGCAUCGGCUGCUUCGCGCUCUUCUUCUUCUGCAGGACCGGCACCGUGUACAAGAUCUGCGGCUGGAUGCAGCUGGCUGCAGGAACAUGUCUGAUUCUGGGCUGCCUGAUCUACCCGGACGGCUGGGACAGCGACGAGGUGAAGCGGAUGUGCGGCGAGCAGACGGACAAGUACACGCUGGGCGCCUGCUCGGUGCGCUGGGCCUACAUCCUCGCCAUCAUGGGCAUCCUGGACGCGCUCAUCCUGUCCUUCCUGGCCUUCGUCCUGGGGAACCGGCAGGACAGCCUGAUGUCCGAGGAGCUGCUGGGAGACAGUAAGAGGACCAGAUCCUGAUGAGAGCGGCAAUAACGCCAUAUAAUAUCUGUUGAUGGUAAAGCAGUCGCUUAAAUACAGGUGUUGCUGCCUCGACGUGACUUCACUUCAGGAUACGGCUUCCCUCUCCCGGUCCCCCCUGUGGCCGGGAUGCAGAGCCGAUGAUGUUGGGAAAGAACAGAUCAAGGAAGAGGGAUGAGCGGAGGUCUGGAAGAGGCCACACAACCUUGGUGAAGACCAGGAUGCUGCUUGUUCUCUCUGAAACCCCCCAACCCCCCCCACCUGUAAAAUAUAGCCGACUCAUCCUUGGAGGAUGAAUCCCCCAAAAACACCUUCUCAAACACGAAUGUCCGUACGUCAUCGUCACAUGAGCCGCUCACACCGACGUUAGUGUCCGUGUGGCUGUGAGGAAGAGUCGGCGCAUCAUUUCGGUUAACCCUUGUGUUGCCUUCGGGUCAUUUUGACCCGAUUCAAUAUUUAACCCUCCUGUCUCCUUCGGGUCAAUUUGACCCGAUUCAAUGUUUAAUGUCGGUGUUCUUUCGGGAGUCAACAAACAAACAUAAAGUACCUCAUACUUAAACUUGGAAAACAAUAUUAAUUCUAAUAAUUUUCUGGAGAUUUUAAUAGCUGGGGUCAUAUUGACCUCAAGGGUAAAAUAUGUUAGUAAAUAUAAAGGUAACAGGAGGGUUAAACAUUGAAUCGGGUCAUAUUGACCCGAAGGCGACAGGAGGGUGAAACAUUGAAUCGGGUCAAAUUGACCCGAAGGCAACACAAGGGUUAAAAAAAAAAUAUAUAUAUUUAAAAAGGCUCUUCAUGUGAUAAUUCAGCUCCAGGAUGCAGACGGCGGAGCGACGGCUGCUCAAAUCUAAUCAAAUCAUAGUAUCCAGACAUCAAACUCCCUGCCAAGGAGAUUGUCUUUGACCCCUGGUUGACCUUUGACCUUUGAAACAGUGUUUUGUCAUAUUUAAAUUGUUUGAUGUGGUGGGUUAGGGUAUCAAAAAGGUAGUAAAUAGAGGUUUUGAUGGCCAAGACUUUGCAAAACAUGUAUAAAAAAUAGGGAGAAAAAUAUCAAUUGUAUGGAGUUUUAUAAUCUGUAUAGAUAUAUGUGGAUUACGUCCCUGUGCUUUGUCUCGACUUUGAAAUGUGCAUUAUUAGCCGUGCCAUACGUCUUGUAAUCUGACAGUUUUGUGACGUCCUCGAGGAGGAAAAGCUCGAGCCGACAGGAAGUGACUGUUUCAGGUGGUUUUGUUUCCACACGGGGAGGAAGCCUGUAAAAAAGAAACACUUUUAAAAGCGGAAAGUUUCACACUUUGGGAUAUAUGCUUAUUAUUACUUUCUGAAUUAGCAAGACGGUAAUAUAUUGUGACCAAAUGGUGUAUUGUACAUGUUUUAUACUCGGAAGUCUUCUGUAUUCUUUUUCUAACACCAUGCCACUAAAGCUCAGCAAAAAAACCAUAACAAAUGUGUUAAAACUGGACGGAAGAAAAGCUGCAAUUAUAUGUAGAAAUCCCAAAUGUUGCACCGUAGAGCGGCCUUCACACUUUGGUUUUAUACGGAUCAAACAAACCUGUAAUAUUUAUAUUUCAUUAGUUCCCUUUAGGGCGGCUGGGAGGAGGAUUAGUCACAGCGACGUUGUGAACGUGCCUCCUUUGUUGUUGUUGUUGUUGUUGAUUGAAUUAUUUUUCUUUCAGAUUCUGAUGGAGAAUUUAGUCUGGAUUAAAAGUGAAACGUAAAAGAAAUGUACACAUUUAUUAAAGAAUGUGUGCGAUACUG